GAAGUAUGGAGAGGACAUGGUUGUUAUGUAUGAAGUAUGGAGAGGACAUGGUUGUUAUGUAUGAAGUAUGGAGAGGACAUGGUUGUUUGUGUAUGAAGUAUAGAGAGGACAUGGUUGUUAUGUAUGAAGUAUAGAGAGGACAUGGUUGUUUAUGUAUGAAGUAUAGAGAGGACAUGGUUGUUUGUGUAUGAAGUAUGGAGAGGACAUGGUUGUUUAUGUAUGAAGUAUAGAGAGGACAUGGUUGUUUGUGUAUGAAGUAUGGAGAGGACAUGGUUGAUUAUGUAUGAAGUAGAGAGAGGACAUGGUUGUUAUGUAUGAAGUAGAGAGAGGACAUGGUUGUUAUGUAAGGUUGUAUGUAAGGUUAGCAGUGUGGUUAUAGUUAGGGGUAAGGUUAGCAGUGUGGUUAUAGUUAGGGGUAAGGUUAGCAGUGUGGUUAUAGUUAGGGGUAAGGUUAGCAGUGUGGUUAUAGUUAGGGGUAAGGUUAGCAGUGUGGUUAUAGUUAGGGAUAAGGUUAGCAGUGUGGUUAUAGUUAGGGAUAAGGUUAGCAGUGUGGUUAUAGUUAGGGGUAAGGUUAGCAGUGUGGUUAUAGUUAGGGAUAAGGUUAGCAGUGUGGUUAUAGUUAGGGAUAAGGUUAGCAGUGUGGUUAUAGUUAGGGGUAAGGUUAGCAGUGUGGUUAUAGUUAGGGAUAAGGUUAGCAGUGUGGUUAUAGUUAGGGAUAAGGUUAGCAGUGUGGUUAUAGUUAGGGGUAAGGUUAGCAGUGUGGUUAUAGUUAGGGAUAAGGUUAGCAGUGUGGUUAUAGUUAGGGAUAAGGUUAGCAGUGUGGUUAUAGUUAGGGAUAAGGUUAGCAGUGUGGUUAUAGUUAGG